rnacentral:rRNA from 1 species
AGUGAACGCUGGCGGUAGGUCUAACACAUGCAAGUCGAACGGCAGCACAGUAAGAGCUUGCUCUUACGGGUGGCGAGUGGCGGACGGGUGAGGAAUACAUCGGAAUCUACUUUUUCGUGGGGGAUAACGUAGGGAAACUUACGCUAAUACCGCAUACGACCUACGGGUGAAAGCAGGGGAUCUUCGGACCUUGCGCGAUUGAAUGAGCCGAUGUCGGAUUAGCUAGUUGGCGGGGUAAAGGCCCACCAAGGCGACGACCCGUAGCUGGUCUGAGAGGAUGAUCAGCCACACUGGAACUGAGACACGGUCCAGACUCCUACGGGAGGCAGCAGUGGGGAAUAUUGGACAAUGGGCGCAAGCCUGAUCCAGCCAUACCGCGUGGGUGAAGAAGGCCUUCGGGUUGUAAAGCCCUUUUGUUGGGAAAGAAAAGCAGCAGGUUAAUACCCCGCUGUUCUGACGGUACCCAAAGAAUAAGCACCGGCUAACUUCGUG